AAAUCAGUUAUCGUUUAUUUGAUAGUACCUUACCACUUGGAUAACCGUGGUAAUUCUAGAGCUAAUACAUGCUAAAAACCCCGACUUCGGAAGGGGUGUGUUUAUUAGAUAAAAAACCAAUGCCCUUCGGGGCUCUUUGGUGAUUCAUGAUAACCUAACGGAUCGCAUGGCCUUGCGCCGGCGACGGUUCAUUCAAAUUUCUGCCCUAUCAACUUUCGAUGGUAAGGUAUUGGCUUACCAUGGUUUCAACGGGUAACGGGGAAUUAGGGUUCGAUUCCGGAGAGGGAGCCUGAGAAACGGCUACCACAUCCAAGGAAGGCAGCAGGCGCGCAAAUUACCCAAUCCCGACACGGGGAGGUAGUGACAAUAAAUACUGAUACAGGGCUCUUUUGGGUCUUGUAAUUGGAAUGAGUACAAUUUAAACCCCUUAACGAGGAACAAUUGGAGGGCAAGUCUGGUGCCAGCAGCCGCGGUAAUUCCAGCUCCAAUAGCGUAUAUUAAAGUUGUUGCAGUUAAAAAGCUCGUAGUUGAAACUUGGGUCUGGCUAGCGGGUCCGCCUCACCGCGUGCACUUGUCCGGCUGGACCUUUCCUUCUGGAGAACCUCAUGCCCUUUACUGGGUGUGUUGGGGAACCAGGACUUUUACUUUGAAAAAAUUAGAGUGUUCAAAGCAGGCCUUUGCUCGAAUACGUUAGCAUGGAAUAAUAGAAUAGGACGUGCGGUCCUAUUUUGUUGGUUUCUAGGAUCGCCGUAAUGAUUAAUAGGGAUAGUCGGGGGCAUCAGUAUUCAAUUGUCAGAGGUGAAAUUCUUGGAUUUAUUGAAGACUAACUACUGCGAAAGCAUUUGCCAAGGAUGUUUUCAUUAAUCAGUGAACGAAAGUUAGGGGAUCGAAGACGAUCAGAUACCGUCGUAGUCUUAACCGUAAACUAUGCCGACUAGGGAUCGGGCGAUGUUUCUAUCUUGACUCGCUCGGCACCU
rnacentral:rRNA from 1 species